rnacentral:rRNA from 1 species
AACGCGAAGAACCUUACCUGGGCUCGAAGCGCAGUGGAAUCCGGAUGAAAGUCUGGCGCCCGCAAGGGCCGCUGCGUAGGUGCUGCAUGGCUGUCAUCAGCUCGUGUCGUGAGAUGUUGGGUUAAGUCCCGCAACGAGCGCAACCCUCAUCUUUAGUUGCCAUGCCGCAAGGCGGCACUCUAAAGAAACUGUCGGCCACAAGCCGAAGGAAGGUGGGGAUGACGUCAAGUCCUCAUGGCCUUUAUGUCCAGGGCUACACACGUGCUACAAUGGGCGGUACAAAGCGCUGCAAACCCGCGAGGGGGAGCCAAUCGCAAAAAACCGUUCUCAGUUCGGAUUGCAGUCUGCAACUCGACUGCAUGAAGCUGGAAUCGCUAGUAAUCGCGGAUCAGCACGCCGCGGUGAAUACGUCCCGGGCUUGUACACACCGCUCGUC